ACGUAGGGUGCAAGCGUUAUCCGGAAUUAUUGGGCGUAAAGGGCUCGUAGGCGGUUCGUCGCGUCCGGUGUGAAAGUCCAUCGCUUAACGGUGGAUCCGCGUCGGGUACGGGCGGGCUUGAGUGCGGUAGGGGAGACUGGAAUUCCCGGUGUAACGGUGGAAUGUGUAGAUAUCGGGAAGAACACCAAUGGCGAAGGCAGGUCUCUGGGCCGUCACUGACGCUGAGGAGCGAAAGCGUGGGGAGCGAACAG
rnacentral:rRNA from 1 species